UACGUAGGGUGCGAGCGUUAAUCGGAAUUACUGGGUGUAAAGCGUGCGCAGGCGGUUGUGCAAGGCCGAUGUGAAAUCCCCGGGCUUAACCUGGGAACUGCAUUGGUGACUGCACGGCUAGAGUGUGUCAGAGGGGGGUAGAAUUCCACGUGUAGCAGUGAAAUGCGUAGAGAUGUGGAGGAAUACCGAUGGCGAAGGCAGCCCCCUGGGAUAACACUGACGCUCAUGCACGAAAGCGUGGGGAGCAAACAGG
rnacentral:rRNA from 1 species